UAAAAUACUCAGCUUUGGUGGGAGAGGGGAAGGGAGUUUGAAAGGAUGUCUGCAUUUGGAAUAUAAGUUAACAAGGGAGAAAAGUAAAGACGUCAGUGUGGUAACCACGAGGAUGGAUGCUGCAGUUAGAAAGAUGUUCUUGCUGGUGGCUUUGUGUGUGUCACAGCCUGCUAGCCCAAUUGCUGGGUGGUGGUAAUAAUAGACAUCAGUUUCAGAAUAUCUGUGGAUGAACUGUGUGCAUUACACUUUUAUAGGGCUAUGAAGAGCAGGCUGCAAGGCCUGAGAUGGAGUCAGCAAGAAGCAGUUGCCUUCUCCGAUCCCUGUCUGUGUCCCUGAAUGUUUGUGUUUCCAAAGAGUGAAUGGUCAGUCCUUGGUGACAGCCUUGGUGCACAAUUGUUCUGCUGGUGUGCAGACUCUGAAUUGUCGACCAGUCUCUAAUACAACAGCUUCUUUGUUUUGUUUUGUGUCUUGACUUCUUCCCAGGUCAAAGUAUCCAGACAGUAAUGCUAAAAAAAGCUCACAGAAAGCACUGAAGGAAGCAGCACAUAAUGAGUGACUGCUCUUACACUCUCACUGCAGGCAUUUUUCUUACAUAUUACCUGAGUAGAUUUUGCUGUUGGAGAUACUGUUUGAUACCCACUUCCCUUAGGAGCUAUCUAGAGCCUUAAAAUAAUUUUGGGAAAUAUGAAGAGCAAUCUUUCUUGAUGAUCUUGCUCAGAAAGAAGAGCAAUAAAGGCGCAACAUGUGGUUCUGUGGUCUGACUCAGCUGACAGGGAGGAGGUGUUUGCUUUGGCAGAGUCAUUUUGUUGAACUCUGGGAGGUUUCUUAGGCCAAAAUCUUUGGUCUCACAUAGACUUGUGGUUCAGAAAUGCUCCCUCAGCCUUUUUUCAGCUUUCUCUGAUGUAAAAGAGUUUACAGAAAUUAGGCAUAUCUUAAGGAGAUCGUACAUGAGUCCAAUAACUUUUGGGUGAGGCAGGAAGAGCACAGGGCACAGGGAGCUUUAUAAUAACACAUUCCUUAACGCACGAAGUGAUUUUAAAAUGUUUAUAUGCCUGUGCAAAGCAGAAGAACUUUUUUUCAGAGAAUGCCUAACAGUCUAAUGAUGGUGAAGUAAAUUUAAUCGUGUUAAAUACAGUCCCUGCUUUGUAAUUUGGUCAGAUUUUGAAGCGUUUUCACUGAAGACAGUAAUAGCUUAGAAGAAUCAAACUCUGAAAGCUAAUCGUUGGU
rnacentral:lncRNA from 1 species